CAUUUCAAAAAAAGAAGCCGCAGCUAUCUCUCUCUUUAUACCCCCCUCUCUCUCUAUACCUCUCUAUAACCAUCAAUGGCUGUUGCCGCUGCUGAGAAACCCGAUGCUGCCCCUUCCCCUCUUCCCGGCUUCCCUCUUCUCUUCCAUAGCCGGAGAAAACCCGAUACCGCUGAGCCACCCGCGAUUUCAGCCGGCAGAGCACCAGUGCCGCCUCCCAACAUCAACCAUGCCAACACCGCCGAUGCCAGUUGAGUACGUGAAGAAGACAUUGGACUAUUGGAUGGAGAUGUUCUAAUUUUUCCUGAAAUGAUCAAAUAUAGGAGUUUGAAGGAGUCAGAUGUUGAUGCUUUUGUAGAGGAUGUGCUUGUUGUGAAUGGCAAGCCCUGGACUUUUGGACCUCUGGAGCCAAUAAGUGGUGCUUAUGUAUUUGUAAAUAAUUACACAAUAGGUAGACUUUGAUGUAAAUAUUUCAAGCUGACAAAAUUUUUCCUUUGUAUAACGAAAAGGUUCAUACAGAAAAUUGCGUAGUGGACAUACGUUGAAGUGUGUUCUCAGUAAGUUGAAGCGCGUAUCUUUAGCUUCUCUCAAAUUCAGGGCUUAAGGGCGACUCAAAUGAGCCUUUGACAA